rnacentral:rRNA from 1 species
CGGCGGACGGGUGAGUAAUGCUUGGGAAUAUGCCUUAUGGUGGGGGACAACAGUUGGAAACGACUGCUAAUACCGCAUAACGUCUACGGACCAAAGGGGGGGAUCUUCGGACCUCCCGCCAUUUGAUUAGCCCAAGUGAGAUUAGCUAGUUGGUGAGGUAAUGGCUCACCAAGGCGACGAUCUCUAGCUGGUUUGAGAGGAUGAUCAGCCACACUGGGACUGAGACACGGCCCAG